rnacentral:rRNA from 1 species
UACGGAGGGAGCUAGCGUUGUUCGGAAUUACUGGGCGUAAAGCGCACGUAGGCGGCUUUGUAAGUUAGAGGUGAAAGCCCGGGGCUCAACCCCGGAAUUGCCUUUAAGACUGCAUCGCUUGAAUCCGGGAGAGGUGAGUGGAAUUCCGAGUGUAGAGGUGAAAUUCGUAGAUAUUCGGAAGAACACCAGUGGCGAAGGCGGCUCACUGGACCGGUAUUGACGCUGAGGUGCGAAAGCGUGGGGAGGCAAACAGGAUUGAGAA